AUUGAACGCUGGCGGCAGGCCUAACACAUGCAAGUCGAGCGCGAAAGUUCUUCGGAAUGAGUAAAGCGGCGGACGGGUGAGUAAUACAUGGGAAUCUGCCUGGUAGUGGGGGACAACGUUUCGAAGGGAACGCUAAUACCGCAUACGCCCUACGGGGGAAAGGGGGGGAUCUUCGGACCUCUCGCUAUCAGAUGAGCCCA
rnacentral:rRNA from 1 species